rnacentral:rRNA from 1 species
UACGUAGGGUGCGAGCGUUAAUCGGAAUUACUGGGCGUAAAGCGUGCGCAGGCGGUUUUGUAAGUCUGUCAUGAAAUCCCCGGGCUUAACCUGGGAAUGGCGAUGGAGACUGCAAGGCUAGAAUCUGGCAGAGGGGGGUAGAAUUCCACGUGUAGCAGUGAAAUGCGUAGAGAUGUGGAGGAACACCGAUGGCGAAGGCAGCCCCCUGGGUCAAGAUUGACGCUCAUGCACGAAAGCGUGGGGAGCAAACAGG